rnacentral:rRNA from 1 species
CGGGGGGGGCAAGCGUUGUUCGGAAUUACUGGGCGUAAAGGGCUCGUAGGCGGCCAACUAAGUCGGACGUGAAAUCCCCAGGCUCAACCUGGGAACUGCGUCCGAUACUGGAUGGCUUGAAUUCGGGAGAGGGAUGCAGAAUUCCAGGUGUAGCGGUGAAAUGCGUAGAUAUCUGGAGGAAUACCGGUGGCGAAGGCGGCAUCCUGGACCGACAUUGACGCUGAUGAGCGAAAGCUAGGGGAGCAAACGGGAUUAGAUACCCCGGUAGUCCUGGCCCUAAACGAUGAAUGCUUGGUGUGGCGGGUAUCGAUCCCUGCCGUGCCGAAGCUAACGCAUUAAGCAUUCCGCCUGGGGAGUACGGUCGCAAGGCUG